ACUCCCAACACCAGGCACCUUCUUACUCUUCUUCUUUUUUCCUUUCUUAAAGGGACGAUGACUACCCGAAGAAGAUCCUCCUAUUAUAUUCACUAUCUCCUUGUGGAGCUAGUGAUCUUUUUCAAAAGUCUGUAGCAACCCCAAUAGAUCGUGGUAGUUGACUACAGACUUCGUCAUUCUAUAAUGACUGAGGAACGGC
rnacentral:lncRNA from 1 species